rnacentral:rRNA from 1 species
UACGAAGGGGGCUAGCGUUGUUCGGAAUUACUGGGCGUAAAGAGCGUGUAGGCGGCUGGGUAGGUCUGCUGUGAAAACUCGAGGCUCAACCUCGAGACGUCGGCGGAAACCCUCCAGCUAGAGUCCGGAAGAGGAGAGUGGAAUUCCUGGUGUAGCGGUGAAAUGCGCAGAUAUCAGGAAGAACACCCGUGGCGAAAGCGGCUCUCUGGGACGGUACUGACGCUGAGACGCGAAAGCGUGGGGAGCGAACAGG